GCCUGGGUGGCGCAACGGCAGACGCAGCCGCCUUAAAAGCGGAUCAGAUGCGGGUUCGAAUCCCGCCCCAGGUA
rnacentral:tRNA from 1 species